rnacentral:misc_RNA from 1 species
GUGAAUCAUCGAAUCUUUGAACGCAAAUUGCACUCUCCUCGGAGAGUAUGCCUGUUUGAGGGUCAGCCUAUAAAAAAUCGACAUCGUUGCUGUUUCGCGGUGGCGUUCGUCGGAAAUUGGGUCAUCUUAAAUCUUUUGGUUUUAAGCGACUUAAAAUUUUCUUUACGAUUCUACGAACGUUUCUAAGAUUUACUCACACGUUUAAGGUAUCGAUUUUUAUUAGACGUGGCCGUUGCAUCGGAUCACGUCCAUAAAUAUUUCGUUAACUGACCUCGGACAGGUAAGAGUACCCGCUGAACUU